CCAGAAAUGCUGUAGUGACUCUUGUUACAAAGGGAAUCAGAGGAUUGCUUCAUCUGUUAAACUAGGCAGAGUGAUCUAUUGCUUACAAGGAAAUAAUAAUGUGAAGUUCUAGCAAGAGGGGUCUAAUAAUAAAACAGUAGAAGUUAAUAUGAAAUCAGAGCAAUUAGUAAGGAAUAUACUUACCAGUACGGAUAGGUGAUAGUUUAGAAAGUUAGCAUGUGAAACAAGAAAAGAACAGAUUUAUUGAGAUGCUUUUUCCCCCAACAUCAUGUUUCACCAGUGCUGCCAGCGUAACAAACUCCUCUGAUGUAACCAAUGGAGAACGUUAGGGUUUCCCUUUCAUUUUUGUUUGAGUAUUUUGUGCCCAUUUCUGUAUGGCAGUGCAAUCAGGUCUAGAGAAAAUAGCAAAUGGUGUCCCUUGAUCCCCACAUAAGCCAGUUUGAUAAUCAACAGAGCUGAUACCCAGAAGCCAUUUGACCCCCAUUUAAAAAUAAAUAAAUAAAUAAAGCGUGGUACUAUAUGUUCUCAAUCAACAUUGCAGAGAACAGAUGUUAUCUGAAUUCUGAGGGCUGAGCAUUAAAGAAAUCUGAUCUGUAAAUCUCUGUUUUAGGUGCAAGUGUCAGUCAGCUGUAACCACUGGAAGCUAAGGGAAAGGAGAGAGCGAGAUGUGUAGUGCACCAUGCUGUGACUUUGUGCUGUGCUUAUAAUGUGUCAUCUACAUUCUUCUCUGAUAAAGCAACAUUAAAUUGUUUAUUGAGAAAUUAUAUUUAAUUUCUCUGAAAGAAAAGUGGUUCACAAGCGAAGGUUGAAGCUGAGAGCACUGUUCAAUUAUCCUCCAUUUGCUGAACAGAGCUGUGGCUGGAAAACAAAGCAAAACCAAGAAACCAUAAAUGCCAGAUCUGGUAAAAAUCUAUUUCUGCGUUUUUUUCAUGCUAUGAUCUGUUUUCUUAUACCUCUGUGGGCAGUAUCACAAUUUGCCAUUGGUUCUGAGCCUUUUUUUUUUUUUUAAUUGCAAAUUUACUG
rnacentral:lncRNA from 1 species